rnacentral:rRNA from 1 species
UACGGAGGGUGCGAGCGUUGUCCGGAAUCAUUGGGCGUAAAGGGCGCGUAGGUGGCCACUUCAAGCGUGCGGUGAAAGUCGGGGGCUCAACCCCUGAUCGGCCGUGCGAACUGGGGGGCUGGAGCACUGUAGAGGCAGGCGGAAUUCCGGGUGUAGCGGUGGAAUGCGUAGAGAUCCGGAAGAACACCGGUGGCGAAGGCGGCCUGCUGGGCAGUUUUGCUGACACUAAACUACGAAAGCGUGGGGAGCAAACAGG